AAGACAUUGCUCUUGGAUCUUGUUCAUAGCCAAACAUCAGGGAAAGGAGGCGAUUAUGUGAUUUUCAAUGAGUUUGUCUGUGACUGUUGACAUUGCAUAUUUCCUCACUAGACUUGGAGAAAGUCUCUUGGAAGUGGACAUCUGUGACAUGGUAAACUGGCUCAAAGAAGAGUGAAGCUUGUCAAGAACAUGGACAUUUCUUUCUCCUUUCUGCUGGAGGACAGCUCCUUGUUAUGGCGUCCCCCCUGAAGCCACCCAGUUACCUUGCAGCCAUUUUCUUUGGCUCCUAACAAGAAGAAUAUGUCAUAAUUCCCCAAGAGGCAGCUGCAUUUAGUUACUGUUCUCUAGAUAUGCACAUAUCUCAAGUUGACACCUAAUGAAAUAAUGAAAUCAUAAAAAGAGUUCAAACUCUGUGUGCCUUGGAAGAGGCCAAAAGCACAGUGACCACCAUGCAUCACCCAGGCAUCAAGUGAAGAGCUCAGAGGAAGUGAGGACAUCACACAUAACGAGAAAGUUUCUCAGAAUCCUUCACCCUGUGAGUCACUGAAGGGAGGAGCUACAGCACAACAUAAAUAUUUUUCUCUAACAGACUGUGAAAUCUUUAGAUAUCUUGCUUAAGAUCCUUGUAUCCCAAAAGGUUUUGAUUUUAUGCUAUCCUUAAGUUCAAAAGUGAUUGUACAUGUACUAUUAUGUGAAAAGGAUAGCAAAAAAGAAUAGUCACUAAAUCAUUUACGAGUUGAUUGAUGAAAAGGGGCCAUAUAAUUCCUCAGCUAUACUUUUCCAGAACAUGAGAUACAAUAAGUAUCAAAAUAUAUAUUUAAAAUAUAAUCUAUUGUAUAAUAAACAAUCUGUAUUUGGGUCUAUAUAUUAUCAUGUUUAUGUACUCACAUUUUUGUUCUUUUCUAUGUUUAUAGUCUUAUUUGUUGUUUGCUAUUUACUAUGAAUGGCUUGUCUUUUGUAGAAUCUAUUAUUCAUCCCUUUGUCCAUUUUCAUGUUCUUUUUUUAAAGUAUUCAGUUAUAAAAUUGAAGUUGAAAUUUAUUUCUCUUAGGUUUUCCGUCUUGUGUGGAAAUGUACAAAUGGGUGGGGGGAAACUUUAGAAAGGACUGUGAUUAUAACUAUUUCACAUUGAAUAUCUAGGUUUCAGAGUAUCUUUUAAUGGUAUCUUUUUCUCAAGCAGUUUAUAAAUACAAAAUUAUCUUUAUGGGCUCCAGAUGUGUUGUCAAAUAAAAAGUGUCUCUAGGGCUAUUUGACCUAUUAUACACUUGUUUGCACAUGUGUCAGGCAGAGCAAAACUUGACCUGGGACUAUAUAAGGUAUCUUUCUGAAGCUGUUAAAAUCAUCAGUGCAAGCUGCUCAUUUUACAGGUUCUGUUUACUAAAAUAAUUGUUUCUUUUACUAAAAGACAGUAAAUACAUGGACAAUGAAGACCCACAGAAUCUCUAAGUGUAUCCAUAGAGAUAUUUUGAGAUAAGCUUCUUGGGACCUACUAGCAUCACAGUGGGACACUUAAGCUAUAUAGUUAAAGGGAAACACACCCAUUUUUUAAUUUCACUUUUUCGAUGUAAAGAAAACCUCAAUUUGAAGCACAAAUUUGCUUAACGCAUUUUAAUUCAAUUCUGUAAAUCAGUGUAUUUGUGUCAGCACUUCAUUCUGACAUGUAAAAGAGUAUAAAAAAGAUGUAUCUUCACCGAAGCAAAAAAGUUUUAGACCCCUCAGGCAAAGAGCAUAAACUAUGUGUUAAGUUUUGCAAAUAUGAAAACUCACUGCCAAAAUAGAAAGGAUAAAGACGGGAAUAUACUUUUUAAAAAUUCAUCUGAUUAUUUCAUUAGCAGCAUGAAAAAGAGAAAAUGUACUUAAUAUCAAAGUUGGGAAAUUCAGAUUUUAUCUAACAUGUUUUUAUACUCUUAAGUUUUAUUUCUCAUUAGCAGUGCAUGAGAGAAUAUAAUUGCAAUAAUAGCUAAUCUCACCAGAGAG